UGGCGGGUAAACCGGUGGCCUCACCGGUGGCUUAGCUGGAGGGGAGACUGGUGGUUUGGUUGGAGGAGAGACCGGAGGCUUAACCGGGGCUUUGGUCGGGGGCUUAACAGGGGCUUUGGUCGGAGGGUAAACCGGGGGCUUAACCGGAGGUUUGGCCGGUGGUGAAACUGGUGGCUUUACUGGAGGUUUGGCCGGUGGUGAAACUGGUGGCUUAACCGGAGGUUUGACUGGGGGCUUAACUGGAGCUUUGGUCGGAGGGUAAACUGGAGGUUUAACAGGAGGUUUUGCUGGUGGGGAAACUGGUGGCUUAACCGGAGGUUUGACUGGGGGCUUAACCGGAGCUUUGGUCGGAGGGUAAACCGGAGGUUUAACAGGAGGUUUUGCUGGUGGGGAAACUGGUGCCUUAACCGGAGGUUUAGUUGGGGGCUUAACCGGGGAUUUGGUUGGAGGGUAAACUGGAGUCUUAACCGGAGGUUUAGAAGGUGGAGAAACCGGCGGCUUGACAGGGGCUUUUGCCGGUGGGUGAGGGUGAGGGUGGUGGUGAUGGGGAGGAUGUGGGUGGUGGUGGCCGUGGUGGUAAGGAGAUGGAGCAGGGGCAGAGGAAGGCGUUUGGGUCACAUGGUUCACU
rnacentral:lncRNA from 1 species